rnacentral:rRNA from 1 species
UACGUAGGGGGGCAAGCGUUAUCCGGAAUCAUUGGGCGUAAAGCGCGUGUAGGCGGUUCCGUAAGUCCGCUCUGAAAGCCCAGGGCUCAACCCUGGGAGGCGGGUGGAUACUACGGAACUGGAGUACGGAAGAGGAGAUUGGAAUUCCUGGUGUAGCGGUGAAAUGCGCAGAUAUCAGGAGGAACACCAGAGCGAAGGCAGGAUCUCUGGGCCAUUACUGACACUGAGAAGCGAAAGCAUGGGGAGCGAACAGG